rnacentral:pre_miRNA from 1 species
ACCUUAUUCCGUGGUGUUGGGAUGGUUAAACUGGCCUCAUCACAACCUACUUGAAUAAGGUAG